UUGUUGCUUUACCCAUUAACGGCUGAAUGGAUGAUUGUGACGAGUAGUACAGUUAUGCUUAUCCCAAGUGAGUUGUACUCACACGAAGAGAAAUCAUCAAAGGUGCAUCCGAACUCUUGGCGACGGAGGGGAUGAUGUUUAGGAAAGAAUUCCUUUAGCUACGUUAUGGCCUCCGAGUUACAGUUAACCUAUUUUUCAAGCAACGGAUAGCAAUUAUCCAAUGACGAAGAAUCUGACGCACUGCAUUUCAACAGUGUUGGCGUCCACGUUAGUGGCGAAGACGGCAACGACUGCGGCGACAAGUGCUACCACUUUCCACAUGGUGCAGCGGGAUAUGCUAGGACCUGGCGAGCGAUCUUUCUGCAAUACGAAAAGGGAAGAUGGGGAUUCCUUUCCCUGCUGCUCCUUUUAUAGGCAUUCUUCCCAAAAAAUAUCCGUCGCUGAUAGUCAAAGCUGGUUAUUUAGUGUUGGAAACACGUAUUUAUUUGCAAAACAAAUUACCAUAAAUAUAUCGUAUAAGGCUUUGGUUGAGAUGACAAUCGGAGUCACCCUGGCGUGACAGUUUUUAACGCUAAAUAGUCAGAGAGGGUGCAGAUCUACUUUGGAAAUCUAACGCUAAGCUUAUCUUAAGUUGCUAGAUUAUCAAACUUUUUUUGUCUCUUAAUUCCAGUAUUGAUGUGGUUGGUCAAAGACGAAAAUCACCAGAAUUAGACGAAAGUUUGUGAUUGUAGUUUAUGUUUCAGUUGUCAGAUGGCGUAUAUGUAGGGAUAAAUUGCAUGUUGUAGUAGAAAAAUUAGGGUGGAUAGGGAAUUCGAAAAGCGUUAAGUAGCAUCUAACUGUCACUUACAAGAAUUAUUUGCCUUUGAGAAUGCUUGUUUGACGAUUUAAGGGGGUUAAUUUAUAAGUUUCAUUAGUAUUGCUGUCCUAAAAACAAAUUAGUGUCAUGGACUUUUUUUGAGGGGCUCGCAGAGUUCGUUUUUUUUUCAGUCUUAAUAUAUAUUUUUUUCCUUCGGCCGAUGAGCCCAAUUACCACCCAUAUCUGCAAAAAUUAAACUACGAAGAACAAAUUCAAUUUUUCAGCUUAAGCAACAAUCAGAAAUAUAAAGUCAUGAAGUUUCCGAUCAUUUUCGAUGUAAAAAUUGAAGGAAAAAAUCGUCUGAUUCACGAAGAACUUAAAAAGACUGACAGCUCCUCUUAACUUUGGGAUUAAACAAUCAAAGUUCUUGUGACCCUGGAUGAA